ensembl:lncRNA
GGCGCCGCGAGGUUUUAAAGCCCGGGCCCUGCGGCCCGCAGCAAGUGGGGUGAGCGCCGCGUGCGUUUCGGGAGCCGGCCUGCUCCCUUCCCCCUUGGUGGAGGUGAGACAGGUUUCACAUGUAGCCCAUGCUGGCCUAGAACUCAACUGUAUAGCCCAGGCUGGUCUUGAACUCAUGGCGAUUCUCCUGCCUCAGUCUCCAGAGUUGCUGAGAUUACAGAUGGGGAAACUGAGGCUUCUAGGGCAUCUGGGAAACUGCAUUUGGGACUUGAACUCUGGUCUGGUGUUUGGGUGCCAGCCUCUGGCCCCGCCCAGUGCCUCCCACCCUUUGCCAUGGCCGGCUGGGGUUCCUGGGGAUGGGAUUUGCUGUCUCACAAAUCACAUUGCCAGGGAUUUCCAACCGACCCUGAGCUCUGCCUCCGGGCCCACCACUGCCACUGAGGAUGCCUGUCCAUGCCUGGGGACGGGGUGUCGGAGAGGCCCUGCCACCGCCACCACCACUGCUGUAGCCGUCGCCAGGCCUGAGGAGCAGGGCUUAGCUGCUUGUGAGCAGAGUCCGCACCAAGUCGUGUUCACAGUGGCUAAGUUCCGUCCCCUGGGCCCCGCCUCCACCGCCCCACCUUUCUGCUGGUUGCCCAGUUCCCCGGGCUCUGCCUCCCGUGCCUACUGAGCUGAAACACAGUUGAUUUGUGCAGACUGGCUCAGUUCAGCAGGAACAGGGGUCAAGCCCCCUGGAGCCUGGAGCGCACAGCCUGGCUGUCCUGACACGGCGACCAGACAGGCGCAGAUGUGUCUGAAGGAGGGGACACGGGAGGACGGGGUGAGAGGGCUGGCCUGGGUCUAGGCAUCUGCUGCAGGCCACCUCUCUUUUUUGUUUUUUGAUACCAUGGAUGGAACUCGGGUCCUUGCACUUUCGCAGCAGGCAGUGAAACCACUGAGCUAAAUCCCCAGCCCAAGGCCACCUCUCUUGGUCUGCACAGAGGGACCCUGUUGUCCCAACAUGGCCAUACCUCGAACAGGCUGAGCCGUUGUCCCAGGGUAGACAGGACAGAGGGUCCUUCCUUAAGCCAGCUGUGCUUCUCUGGGCCUAGCACCUCAGCUCCUCCCUGUUUUGAUUCGUGAGAUUGAGUCUCCCUGUGUAAUCCAGGCUGGCUUUGAAUUAUGUAGCCAGGCAGUCCUCCUGCCUCAGCUUCCUGAGUGCUGGGAUGACAUGUGUGUGUCACCAUGCCUGGCCCUGCCCCUCCUGUCCUAAGCCUAGCGGGGAGUGCUGAACCUUCCCAGCUGCCUGUUACCCAAGAGGAAGCUGCCUUAGGCCCCCUGACCGUUAAGUGCCAACUCACAGCUUCUGGAACUAGCUGGCCCGACUUGGCCGAGUGAGUGUGCCUGGGCCCCUCUCCCUGGCCCUGAGGGUUCUUAAUGACACCCACUCCACGUGGGGUAGGGAACAGUUCCAUGCGGCCCCAAGAGGGACAUGAUCAGGCCUCCCCUGUCCUGGGGUUGAGGUCAUCCUGUCCUGCUCUCCUUGGUGGUCCUGGGCUUGGAAGAGGUGAAUUGUGCCACUGUCCCCAAGUCAGAUGGGAGGAAGCUCUUUGGGCCUGGAGGGAGGGUCCAGUGAAAUGCCCAGACUGUCAGGGCUGGCCUGGUGUUGCCCAGGUAGGGGCAGACAGGAGCUUGGGUGGAGGGAGGGCAGCAUUUGUAUUGUGCCCCGCAUGUGAUGCCCAGUGAAAUAAAAGUUGUCCCAGCUUCACUCCUGAGGCUCUGAUGGUCCGUGAUUUGCUCCUGUCUCUGUCCUUACAGUUACAGCUUUUUAUUCUUUCCGAUGCUGGGGGUGGAACUCCGGCCUCGUGCGGGCUGGACCAGCGCUCACCACCGAGUUACCUUGCCGGCUACACAUGCAGCCUUUGCAUUCUGGAGCAGGGGCUCCAGAUCUCACCGGCUCCCAACCCCCGCUCUGAGGGUGGCGGGAAAAGCCAGACUUGUUUUCCUGUGGACCAAGGGGGGCCCUGAGCUUGGAGAGGUGACUUUGAGGGAUGUCCUGGGGUGACACUAUUGUGGGAGGAACAAAAAUGAGGGUUACUAUGAAUGAUGACUGAGCCAAGAGGGAGGGAAGGGAGCCUGAUCUAGGGAUGGUGGGGGUGGAUUGGGCCUCAGGACAAACUGGACCGGGAGACCACUGGACGUGAGGGUCCUGAGCUAAUGGCAUUUGGGGACCACUGGGACUUAACCUGGGCUGUGGGGAGAGAUCUAGGGUGCCUGCUGUCUUAAGAAUGCUGAAAUUUUUUUCGAGACGGUCUUGAUUGUAGGCUGGCUCGGAGUCUCGGCAAGCCUCCUGCCUCAGCCUCCGGAGUCCCAGGAUGACAGGCGUUGCCACCACGCCCAGCUAGAAGGUGUAUGCGUAAGGCGGAGGAGAUUCCUGGUCCAAGGGGGAGAUAUUCAGGUGGCAGGGGACUAAGUGGCCCCCAGUCGGUAGGGAUACCCGUGGGUAACGGGAGCAGUGAGGGCGCCCGAGCCCCACGAGGGGCACCAAGGCGGACCAACGGCAGAGUGGGAAGCCCGGAUCGUCGCCCCACCCCG